GACGAACGCUGGCGGCGUGCUUAACACAUGCAAGUCGAGCGGUAAGGCCCUUUCGGGGGUACACGAGCGGCGAACGGGUGAGUAACACGUGGGUGACCUGCCCUCAGCUCUGGGAUAAGCCUGGGAAACCGGGUCUAAUACUGGAUAUGACUCCAUGACGCAUGUUGUGGGGUGGAAAGCCUUGUGCGGCUGAGGAUGGGCCCGCGGCCUAUCAGCUUGUUGGUGGGGGAUGGCCUACCAAGGCGACGACGGGUAGCCGGCCUGAGAGGGCGACCGGCCACACUGGGACUGAGACACGGCCCAGACUCCUACGGGAGGCAGCAGUGGGGAAUCUUGCGCAAUGGGCGAAAGCCUGACGCAGCGACG
rnacentral:rRNA from 1 species